ensembl:lncRNA
GGUCAGUUAAGAUCACCACUUUAUUUUAAGAAUGUGAAAUGUUAGAAUAUUAGUUGAGAGAAUUAUUUAUUUCAGCUUUUCUUUCUUUCAUCACAUUCCCAGUGGGUUAGACGUUUACAUACACUCAAUUCAUAUUUGGUAGCAUUGCCUUUAAAUUGUUUAACUUGGGUCAAACGUUUCGGGUAGCCUUCCACAAGCUUCCCACAAUAAAUUGGGUGAAUUUUGGCCCAUUCCUCCUGACAGAGCUGGUCUGAGUCAUGUUUGUAGGCCUCCUUGCUUGCACAUUUCAGUUCUUUCUACACAUUUUCUAUAGGAUUGAGGUCAGGGCUUUGUGAUGGCCACUCCAAUACCUUGACUUUGUUGUCCUUAAGCCAUUUUGCCACAACUUUGGAAGUAUGCUUGGGGUCAUUGUCCAUUUGGAAGACACAAGCUUUAACUUCCUGACUGAUGUCUUGAGAUGUUGCUUCAAUAUAUCCACAUAAUUUUACUACCUCAUGAUGCCAUCUAUUUUGUGAAGUGCACCAGUUCCUCCUGCAGCAAAGCACCCCCAACAUGAUGCUACCACCCCCAUGCUUCACAGUUGGGAUGGUGUUCUUCGGCUUGCAAGCCUCUGCCUUUUUCCUCCAAACCUAACAAUGGUCAUUAUGGCCAAACAGUUCUAUUUUUGUUUCAUCAGACCAGAGGACAUUUCUUCAUAAAGUACAAUCAAACCGUAGCCUAACCCUAACCCUUUUUCAUGGUGGUUUUGGAGCAGUGGCUUCUUCCUUGCUGAGUGGCCUUUCAGGUUAUGUCGAUAUAGGACUCGUUUUACUGUGGAUAUAGAUACUUUUGUGCCUGUUUCCUCCAGCAUCUUCACAAGGUCCUUUGCUGUUGUUCUGGGAUUGAUUUGCACUUUUCUCACCAAAAUACGUUCAUCUCUAGGAGACAGAAUGCGUCUCCUUCCUGAGCGGUAUGACGGCUGCGUGGUCCCAUGGUGUUUAUACUUGCGUACUAUUGUUUGUACAGAUGAACGUGGUACCUUCAGGCAUUUGGAAUUUGCUCCCAAGGAUGAACCAGACUUGUGGAGAUCUACAAUUUCUUUUCUGAGGUCAUGGCUGAUUUAUUCUGAUUUUCCCAUGAUGUCAAGCAAAGAGGCACUGAGUUUGAAGGUAGACCUUGAAAUACAUCCACAAUUGACUCAAAUGAUGUCAAUUAGCCUAUCAGAAGCUUCUAAAGCCAUGACUUCAUUUUCUGAAGUUUUCCAAGCUGUUUAAAGGCACAGUCAACUUAGUGUAUGUAAACUUUUCACCAACUGGAAUUGUGAUACAGUGACAAUUGUGAAAUAAUCUGUCUGUACAUUUUUUGGGGAAAAAAUUACUUUUGUCAUGCACCAAGUAGAUGUCCUAACCGACUUGCCAAAACUAUAGUUUGUUAACAAGACAUUUGUGGAGUGGUUGAAAAAUGAGAUUUAAUGACUCCAACCUAAGUAUAUGUAAACUUCCGACUUCAACUGUAGGUAGUGGUGUAAUAAUGUGUUUCCUGUUUGGUCCCCAGGGAGAGGAUGGAGAUCCGUAAAUAAAAACACAAAAACAAUUAUGGGGUGUUGCCUUUAGAGGGCAGAACAGAAUAGACAGUUGGUGCUUUGUAGCGGUGAGCAGUGUGAUUGGGUAAAAGGACAGUCAGUUUGUAGCGGUGAGCAGUGUGAUUGGGUAAAAGGACAGUCAGUUUGUAGAGGUGAGCAGUGUGAUUGGGUAAAAGGACAGUCAGUUUUGAGCGGUUAAAUGUAGUGCACUAUAUAGGGCAUAGGGUGCCAUUACAGACACACAGUUGAGACGGGUUUGAUUGAGAGCGUGUGAGGGAGAGCCAAGAAGACAGGAAGACUGGAGGACUGAGGACAGUACAGAGGUCAUGACAUUUAUUCAAGGCAUGCUACAAUUAUAGUUGGGAUUCUGGUGUAAUAAUUAUAAUAAUAAGGAUUAUGAUAAUCAUAGUAAUAAUCAAUUCAAAAACAUGAAUGAAAAUGUUUCUAUAUAAAAUACAGAAACUCCACUCAACCAUGCACCGCAAAAAAUUUGAAAAUAUGUUUCUUUAAUAGUUUUAAUCUAUUUGCAUUCUGAUUACAUCAACUCGUAAAGGAAACCUGUUGUUUCUCACCCCAAACCUUCCAUCCCCACGACGUCACACACACUGCUUUACAAAUCAAACCUGGUAUUAUAUCAAAAUACACAAGACAAGUUGUUUUUUCAUGUGCUCAUCUUCAAAUACAAAAAAUAAAACGUCCAUGUCUUGUUGUUGUUUGUAGCUAUCUUGGCCUCAUUAACCUUUUUCUUGGCCAGACUAGGAAAAAAAGGACAUGUUUGAUUACAGCAUUUGUUGUUUUAUUUUGGUUGUGAAACAUUGGACUAUUAGCUUUAGUCUCCAUUCAGUCUGUAUCGCUGAAGUGGUCAAAUUAAAAGGCCAUUUUCUGAUUGAGCCGACACAGGCGGCGUUUACCGUGAACGCAGCUCCACUAACGCGGGAAUGUUGACAUUUAAACGAAAUCGCGAUGUUAAGGCCGAAUCUCCCCAAUACGGAUUGAAUAGAAACCCAGGUCUGUUAUCAAGACGCGCCGUGAUGAGACGAAGAAAAACACAAAAAGAAAAAACAGAAUGAAAUCAGAUCAGAAGAGAUACUACUACGUCCCAAAUGGAACCCCGUCGCCUACAGAUAGCACUCAUUGGGGAACGUAAAUAGGGGAUAGAGUCCCAUUUGGGAUGCGGCCUGACUAGGUGCUGUGCAAAUAUAAGCCUCUUUAAAAUGUAUCAUCUCUCCCUUUAAUAAUAAUGGAACAGGAAAUCAAUUGAACUUCUUAAUUGUCUCCCAUAUAAUUCAGUGAUUUAAAGUAAUGGUAGAAUGUCAGGAAACACUUCAAACAUUCAUCAGAAUCUCUGAGUCUGGACGCAAAACGGUAAAGCAAAUCUACUGUAGCGAAUUCGAGGGGUAGCCCCGUGUGGGACUCGAGCCCGGGUCCAGCGAAGGACGCUACUCUGUCAUCAUGACAGUUCGUUCUAAUAGAGGAAUCAAUUCCUUUGGUUUCAGUGCUAAAGGUUACAUUUAGUUAGGUUUUUUUUUUGUGUUUUGAGGGUAAGUGGGAACAAAUGGGCAAGCCUGGUAUCCAACCUAAUAUCAUUACAUUUCUGUAGUGAGCACAGCGUUCAGUCUGGUUGGACCAGGCUAGGAAUGGACUCCAUUUUUUUGUUGUUGAUGGAAGCAACGAUCUCGUCUUGAGCAAUGACGGACUUUCAUUUAAAUAAUAGCGAUGGAGGAUGGAACAAGGAGAUGAAUAACAGAUCAAUGAAAGGCACAUCAACUUUGGUCCGGUUUGUUUUUUGUUGUUUGUGACGAUUGAGUAUUAAAAAAAAACAUGAGGAUUUUAGUGUCUCAGCCCGUUUGAUAAUGUAAAAUGUUAGUCACAAUUGAAAUAAAAAGCAUAAAGUCUUUCAUCAUGGCUGAACUAUGCUGCCUGAGUUAAGAUGUGACUUGGUCUACCUCCCAAAUGGCACCCUAUUCCCCAUUUAGUGCACUACUUUUUACCAGUGGCCCUACAUGGGGAACAGGAUGCCAUUUGGGAUUGCAAACCUUGAAACUAUUCAGUCGGGACAGAGAUGUAGAGAGCGCCGUGUGGUUCGAUCUGAAGGUUAGAGAGAGACAUAGAACAUUCAGACAUUCUAGAAUAAUCCGCUUUCACGACGAUACAAAAGGUUUAGAGUCAUGUCUGGCUUCUUUCCUAUUCAGAAAUGAAAAAGGUUUUCAAUAACAUCGCCUAUGAGACGUGAGAGAAUCAAUCCACGGAAAGAUACGUAGGAUGAAGACCACGACCGAGGCAGCUCAGUAGCUCUGAUCCAGGGCGUCACUUAAACUCCCUGGACCCGAGCUAAACUAAGACUUCUGCAUAAAUAACCAGGAUGGUGGUUUAUGAGGUUCACAGUCUGAACCAGCCCUCAGACACCACAGUCCUAUUCCCUGUAUACUAUUCCUCACUAUUUUUGAUGCACCCAACAGCAUUGGGCCGAGGUCAGUGCCCGGGUCAGAAGUACUGCACUAUAUAUAGAACAUAGCUUGCUACUGAGGACGCAUCCUCAGGGGUUUUCAGCAACAAAAAAACAAACAACUGUUGUUGUGAAAAACAGAGCGACAGACAACCAUAACCAGUUUUUUACCUUUUAAAGAAAAUAUUCUAAUAAAACACGUUAUCACUGCAGAUCAAAUGAAAAAUACCCUCUAAUGAAUAAUAUGAGAAACAAGUCAAAUAAGAUUACAGCUAAAAAGAAAACGAGAUGGGAGAUUUUCUAAAACAGCUUCACUCAAAAACAGCGAAAUGUAGGAAAACCUGAAAUGACCUGAGAGGGUUGUUGUGGGCCUCAACAUCAGAGGAAUAAGUGAACCUAGGUAACGUACGUAUCACAUAGGCUAUGUACGUUAGAAUAACAUUAUACCCUAUCCAGGUGUAUUUUAAAAUGAACUGAUAACCAGUCAACAGUAGUGCACUAUAUAGGGAAUAGGGUACGAUUUGGUACCCCAGCAUCUUUCAAACAUUGAGUGAAACACUACCACUGAUUGUCCCUCAAUGUGUAUUGUGUAAUCAGCUCACUACAAACACACUAACUGUAGAAACUGGCUUCACUUCUACUGUAGAAACUGGCUUCACUUCUAACUGUAGAAACUGGUUUCACUUCUACUGUAGAAACUGGCUUCACUUCUAACUGUAGAAACUGGUUUCACUUCUACUGUAGAAACUGGCUUCACUUCUAACUGUAGAAACUGGCUUCACUUCUAACUGUAGAAAUUGGUUUCACUUCUAACUGUAGAAACUGGUUUCACUUCUAACUGUAGAAACUGGCUUCACUUUUAACUGUAGAAACUGGCUUCACUUUUACUGUAGAAACUGGCUUCACUUUUACUGUAGAAACUGGCUUCACUUCUACUGUAGAAACUGGCUUCACUUCUACUGUAGAAACUGGCUUCACUUCUACUGUAGAAACUGGCUUCACUUCUAACUGUAGAAACUGGCUUCACUUCUAACUGUAGAAACUGGCUUCACUUCUACUAUAGAAACUGGUUUCACUUUUAUUUUACUGUAGAAACUGGUUUCACUUCUACUGUAGAAACUGGCUUCACUUCUAACUGUAGAAACUGGCUUCACUUCUAACUGUAGAAACUGGUUUCACUUCUAACUGUAGAAACUGGUUUCACUUCGACUGUAGAAACUGGCUUCACUUCUAACUGUAGAAACUGGCUUCACUUCUACUGUAGAAACUGGCUUCACUUCUACUGUAGAAACUGGUUUCACUUCUAACUGUAGAAACUGGUUUCACUUCUACUGUAGAAACUGGUUUCACUUCUACUGUAGAAACUGGCUUCACUUCUAACUGUAGAAACUGGUUUCACUUCUAACUGUAGAAACUGGCUUCACUUCUAACUUUAGAAACUGGCUUCACUUCUAACUGUAGAAACUGGCUUCACUUCUAACUGUAGAAACUGGCUUCACUUCUAACU